rnacentral:misc_RNA from 1 species
GUACCCUCAAGCUUUGCUUGGUGUUGGGCGUCUUUUUGUCUCUCACGAGACUCGCCUUAAAAUGAUUGGCAGCCGACCUACUGGUUUCGGAGCGCAGCACAAUUCUUGCACUUUGAAUCAGCCUUGGUUGAGCAUCCAUCAAGACCACAUUUUUUAAC